rnacentral:rRNA from 1 species
GAGUGAUCUAGCCAUGAGCAGGUUGAAGGUGCGGUAACACGUACUGGAGGACCGAACCCACUUAUGUUGAAAAAUGAGGGGAUGACCUGUGACUAGGGGUGAAAGGCCAAUCAAACUCGGAAAUAGCUCGUACUCCCCGAAAUGCAUUUAGGUGCAGCGUUGUGUUAGUUUUAUAGAGGUAGAGCUACUGAUUGGAUGCGGGGGCUUCACCGCCUACCAAUUCCUGACAAACUCCGAAUGCUAUAAAAUGAUGCACAGCAGUGAGGGCAUGGGUGCUAAGGUCCAUGUCCGAGAGGGAAAGAACCCAGACCAUCAGCUAAGGUCCCAAAAUAUACACUAAGUUGAAUAAACGAGGUUGGAUUGCAUAGACAGCUAGGAUGUUGGCUUGGAAGCAGCCAUUCAUUUAAAGAGUGCGUAACAGCUCACUAGUCGAGCGAUCCGGCAUGGAUAAUAAUCGGGCAUAAACAUAUUACCGAAGCUAUGGAUUUGUAUUAUAUACAAGUGGUAGGGGAGCAUUGUAACCUGCGUAGAAGGUGUUCUGUAAGGAAUGCUGGAGUGGUUACAAAAGAAAAUGUAGGCAUAAGUAACGAUAAUGCGGGCGAGAAACCCGCACACCGAAAGACUAAGGUUUCCUCAGCGAUGCUAAUCAGCUGAGGGUUAGUCGGGUCCUAAGGCGAAUCCGAAGGGAGUAGUCGAUGGAUAACAGGUUAAUAUUCCUGUACUUCUUAUAAUUGCGAUGGGGUGACGGAGUAAUGAAAGCACCGCGUACUGACGGAAUAGUACGUUGAACCAAGUAGGUAUUGGCACUGUAGGUAAAUCCGCAGAGCUAGCUGAAUUGGGA